UCGUACCACACUGUUAGAGGUUUCAAAGUAUUUUGCGCUGAAACUUGACAUGUUGGUACUGC
ensembl:miRNA